rnacentral:rRNA from 1 species
UACGUAGGGCGCAAGCGUUUGUCCGGAAUUAUUGGGCGUAAAGAGCUCGUAGGUGGUUUGUCGCGUCUGCCGUGAAAGCCCCGGGGGCUUUAACUCCGGGGUCUGCGGUGGAUACGGGCAGACUAGAGGCAGGUAGGGGAGAACGGAAUUCCCGGUGUAGCGGUGAAAUGCGCAGAUAUCGGGAGGAACACCGGUGGCGAAGGCGGUUCUCUGGGCCUGUACUGACGCUGAGGAGCGAAAGCGUGGGGGAGCGAACAGG